AAACGACUCUCGGCAACGGAUAUCUCGGCUCUCGCAUCGAUGAAGAACGUAGCGAAAUGCGAUACUUGGUGUGAAUUGCAGAAUCCCGUGAACCAUCGAGUCUUUGAACGCAAGUUGCGCCCCAAGCCUUCUGGYUGAGGGCACGUCUGCCUGGGU
rnacentral:rRNA from 1 species